UCUUAUUUUUUUUCCUCCUUUUUGUUUCUCUUUCAGUUUCUCCUGUUAUUGAUUCCAGAAGAAGAAGAAGAUGCCUGCGACGACAGAGAACAACCACAAUCAGGGAUCGUUCCUGGGGAGAAUAAGCAUCAGAAGGAACCAGGUGAUGUCGAUGUCAAUGGACGGCACCCACGACACGGAGUGCGAGGAGAUGGAGCUAUUUCAGAGACACGUGGCGGAGAGAUUCGCGGAGCUGCUGUCGUGCACGGAUGAGCCGGAGGCAUUCAUGUCCAUCGGGUGGCUGAGGAAGCUUCUAGACGAGUUUCUGUGCUGCGAGGCAGAGUUCAAGGCUGUACUCCUCAUGGGAAGGGACCCAUUCCAGAUCGCCAAGCCACCUCUCGACAAGCUCCUCCCUGAGCUCCUUGACCGCAUCAUCAAGUCUCUCGACGUCUGCAAUGCCGUCUCCCUCGGAAUCGAUUCCCUCAAGAACAUCCAGCGCCUCGCCGAAAUCGUCCUCUCUGCCCUCGACCAGACCCUCAUCGGAGACGGCCAGGUCCGCCGUGCCAAGAAGGCCCUCUCCGCCCUCCUCAGCGCCAUGCUCCACGAGGACAAGGACGGCGGCAUCACCAAGGGCACCGAGCGCAGUCGCUCAUUCGGUCGUCGCGGCAACAAGGACAAGGACCGGUCUGCCGCUUCCCCCUUCCGCUCCCUCUCCUGGACCAUGCCCAAGAACUGGUCUGCCGCCAAGCAAAUUCAUGCCAUGUCAUCCAACCUGGCAGCUCCACGUGGCAACGAGUCGUCCGGCCUUGCCCUCCCUGUUUUCAUAAUGAACACCGUUUUGGUUUUCGUUCUAUGGACAUUGGUUGCAGCACUUCCAUGCCAGGAGAGGAGUGGGCUUGGGACCCACUUCCAGAUGCCUAGGAAUUUGAGCUGGGCCCAGCCUAUCACUGCGCUUCAGGAGAGGAUCUCCGAGGAGUGGAAGAAGAAGGAGAAGAAAGGUACGGUGGGGCUGUUGGAGGAGAUGCAGAAGAUGGAGAAGAUUGCGCAAUGGUUCCUUGAUUUUGCGGACUCAUUCCAGUUCCCUGCCGAGGCUGACAAAUUGGAGGAAGUUAAGGCGCAGGUGGAGGAGUUGGCUGAUAUAUGCCGGAAGAUGGAGGAAGGGUUGGAGCCAUUGCAGAUGCAGAUUAGAGAGGUCUUCCAUAGAGUUGUCAGGACCAGAACUGAGUUCCUUCAUGUGUUGGACCAAGCUGCCAAAUUGAAUAUACCCACUUCCUAAACAACUUCCAUAACUGCACCCUCUUUUUCACUCUCUCUUUUCUUUUUCCCCUUAUUCUUCUUGUUUAAAAGAAUCCCCCUUUGUGAAGAGCACUUUCAGAACCAACAUGGAAAGUUCAACGAGGUUGGUUUCUGUGGGUGGGGGGUUAAUUUAAAAUUCUUUACAAGAUUCAUGGUAUUCUGUUGUGUAAAGGAAAAAGACGAAAAAGAUGUUGCUUCGGGUUGGAAGAAAGACAUGCAUUCAUCUAGAAAUUAAGCAAAAGUUUUCCCCUUAUUAUAUCACUUAUUAACAAGCUUACUUUAACUUAUAUUUUUCUCGUUUAGUUUUACAGUUCCAAAGGAGCUAGUAUUAAUUGUCUAGUACAUCCA